rnacentral:rRNA from 1 species
GACGAACGCUGGCGGCGUGCUUAACACAUGCAAGUCGAACGGAAAGGCCCUGCUUUUGUGGGGUGCUCGAGUGGCGAACGGGUGAGUAACACGUGAGUAACCUGCCCUUGACUUUGGUAUAACUUCAGGAAACUGGGGCUAAUACCGGAUAGGAGCUCCUGCUGCAUGGUGGGGGUUGGAAAGUUUCGGCGGUUGGGGAUGGACUCGCGGCUUAUCAGCUUGUUGGUGGGGUAGUGGCUUACCAAGGCUUUGACGGGUAGCCGGCCUGAGAGGGUGACCGGCCACAUUGGGACUGAGAUACGGCCCAGACUCCUACGGGAGGCAGCAGUGGGGAAUAUUGCACAAUGGGCGGAAGCCUGAUGCAGCAACGCCGCGUGCGGGAUGACGGCCUUCGGGUUGUAAACCGCUUUCGCCUGUGACGAAGCGGGAGUGACGGUAAUGGGUAAAGAAGCACCGGCUAACUACGUG